GAUGAACGCUGGCGGCGUGCCUAAUACAUGCAAGUCGAGCGAACGGACGAGAAGCUUGCUUCUCUGAUGUUAGCGGCGGACGGGUGAGUAACACGUGGAUAACCUACCUAUAAGACUGGGAUAACUUCGGGAAACCGGAGCUAAUACCGGAUAAUAUUUUGAACCGCAUGGUUCAAAAGUGAAAGACGGUCUGGCUGUCACUUAUAGAUGGUUCCGCGCUGCAUUAGCUAGUUGGUAAGGUAACGGCUUACCAAGGCAACGAUGCAUAGCCGACCUGAGAGGGUGAUCGGCCACACUGGAACUGAGACACGGUCCAGACUCCUACGGGAGGCAGCAGUAGGGAAUCUUCCGCAAUGGGCGAAAGCCUGACGGAGCAACGCCGCGUGAGUGAUGAAGGUCUUCGGAUCGUAAAACUCUGUUAUUAGGGAAGAACAUAUGUGUAAGUAACUGUGCACAUCUUGACGGUACCUAAUCAGAAAGCCACGGCUAACUACGUG
rnacentral:rRNA from 1 species